rnacentral:rRNA from 1 species
UGUCGUCAGCUCGUGUCGUGAGAUGUUGGGUUAAGUCCCGCAACGAGCGCAACCCUUGUCUUUAGUUGCCAUCAUUAAGUUGGGCACUCUAGAGAGACUGCCAGGGAUAACCUGGAGGAAGGUGGGGAUGACGUCAAAUCAUCAUGCCCCUUAUGCUUAGGGCUACACACGUGCUACAAUGGGUAGUACAGAGGGUUGCCAAGCCGUAAGGUGGAGCUAAUCCCUUAAAGCUACUCUCAGUUCGGAUUGUAGGCUGAAACUCGCCUACAUGAAGCUGGAGUUACUAGUAAUCGCAGAUCAGAAUGCUGCGGUGAAUGCGUUCCCGGGUCUUGUAC